ACAAGCACUUAGCUUCAUUCUCCCAAGCUUAAACCUACGAAAUUCUCUUAACACAUCAGUCUAUAAACAAGCCCCAUUCACACCAAUAACAAAUCAGUAGCCAAAAAUCAGAAUCAAAGCUUAAAAAGGUAUAAACCCUAGCUUGAUUUUUCUUAAACUUUUUGGUGUUAGAUGUUAUGUUUAAAUGUUAAAACAUGUUGAUUAUAGUGUCUAAGGAUGAUCUGGGUUGCUUGAUGUUGAUUCCAUAACAUUCAGAAGCUCGGAUUUGAAGAUCUUUAAAAUCUGGAAAUUUUCAUUUUUGUGUUCUGACAACGAAUGUCAGAGGCUGUAGAUCCCAUCCUGUUAAGAGUUUUUGAUGUUUAAAGCUUGUUAUGUGUAGCCUGUCAUGUUGUCUUUAUUCUGCAAAAGGAAUCAUGGUCAUAUCUGUUGUAGAUUAGAAGUUAUUUAUGGUCAAACUACCAUUGACCGAACUGCUCAAGAACUUUCUGGGUUUUCCAGAAAUGUUCAAGAACAGUUGUUGAGGUCGCAUUUGACCGGCCUCUUUCUGUUGGAU
rnacentral:lncRNA from 1 species